UAGGAUGUCUAUAAAUAGGCAUCAGCUGCAGUAAGAAAGGAGAAAAGAAUAAAAAAAUAGGAGGAGGUACACUGCAGAAAUUGAGAGACAACAGAGAAGAACAAACGGCAGAGAUCUUGAGAAAGUUGGAGAGAAAUCAAAGAAGUGAACUGCUGCGGAAAUUCAACAAGACAAAGGCAAAUAGAGAAGAGAAUACACGACAAAGGAAAGCAACAAAGCAUUUAAAGGUACAAAUCCAUCCUUCUAAAUCUUUCUUUGUUUGGUUUCUCUCGGUUUUGCAGGAAAAAAAAACAAUUUGCUUCUCCGACCUCUCCCAUUCCCCAACUUUCUAUCAAGUUGCAACCCAACAAACCGCAACAAACCACCACAUCCCUCUGCCGCCGCGGCGAUAUACAAUGGAGAUUUCAGCAAAACACGCUGAUUGGAUUCAACCCAAUUUCAAAAGGAAGAACCAAUUGCAUGGGUGCCUAAAGAAGUUUGGAAGUAUGAUUUGCGUGGAGGAACCAGCAAAACACGACGAAAUCAAUUCCGUUGAUAUAUAAUAAGGACCAAGCUUUGUGUGGUAGUGUGGGAGAGUCUCUUAUUAGUCUUGCUAGCAUCUGCACUUCUGAAUCUCCAACAAAGCUCUCAGCUUUUUAAGGUACAAAACAGUUUAAAAAAUUUGGACGCCAAUGUGAUAAUAAUGUAGUACAUGUGCGCGCCCAUUUUGGUUUAGGAAAUAGGUUACUUUAAUAUGUUGGUUGAAUGGAAAGAAACUUACAUCUGAGACGUUACUGUGAUGGUGUUUUAAUGUGUCUAACUUUGUCACAUGAUAGUUUGAUACUGAUUUGAGAUACCGUCACAAUGACAUUUUAAGCACAGAUAAGUUAUUCUCAAAACGAGUCCAAAGUGACUUACUAGUCGGAUCCAAUGUGAGAUCGAUGUAACCUUUACUUCUAAUUAAAUGAACCUCUCUCUCUCGUUUUUCACC